rnacentral:rRNA from 1 species
UACGUAGGGGCUAGCGUUGUCCGGAAUCAUUGGGCGUAAAAGAGCGUGUAGGCGGCCCGGUAAGUCCGCUGUAAAAGUCAAAGGCUCAACCUUUGAAUGUCAGUGGAUACUGCCGGGCUAGAGUCCGGAAGAGGCGAGUGGAACUCCUGGUGUAGCGGUGGAAUGCGCAGAUAUCAGGAAGAAACACCAACGGCGAAGGCAGCUCGCUAGGACGGUACUGACGCUGAGACGCGAAAGCGUGGGGGAGCGAAACAGG